rnacentral:miRNA from 1 species
UGGUCUGACUUCGCUAUAGAGAAUG